rnacentral:lncRNA from 1 species
UCCUAGCUUUUCUAGGUUUGUCCUACACAAACUUCAUCAGCAAGAAGUGAAAUAUUUGGUAAACUAGUAGUUGUUUUGUUUUGUGUAUUUGGAAAAAACACUAACAUUUUUCUUUACUCAUUUUUUAAUGAAAUGAUCCGAGUUGACUAAAUUCUUUGGUACCUGUAGGCAUAAAAAUAGUUCAUUAAACUUUUGCUUCCUGAAAAAAAAAAAACAACUUUUGACUGAAGAGAAUGUUUUAGGUUAAAAUUACAACUUUCCUUUGAAAAAGGAAAAAAAGAUAAGAAUUAUCUAUGUUUUCCAUGAAUUAGCUCUACAACAACUUGAUAACAUUUGAUUGUUGUACUGUGUGCAUGUGUGUGGGUUGUGUAUUGCUUCUUUCUGGCAGUUAUAAUCACUGAUACAGUAGGAGGAGGAUACUCCCUGCUAUAACUGGAGAACAGAGGCAGUGUGCUUUUGCCUCAGGAUGUGCUACUGGAAUUGCUGGUAGCUGAUGUCAGAUGAGGUCACGGCCAACCACUCGGAUCAGGGAACUGCUUAUAAAGAUUAAUGAGGAAUAGGUGAGGGUGGGAUAGGGGUCAGAGUGGGCAGCUGUUGUUGAAGGUACUUGAAAUCAGAGACACAAAAUUCCAGGCAAGACAGAUGAUUGGGUGACUUUGUAUAUAUAAGAAAGCACUUUAGAAAUAACCUGUCCAUAGUCCAGGCAGUUUCCUGAAAGUAGCUGAAACAAAUUUGACAGCCUUGACUGCCUUUUAUUCUCAAAGUCUCAGAUUUCCAGGUUGUCUCUUUUAGAUACUAGAAUGCCAGUCAGUUAGAUUGACUCAAAUCUUUGUCCCAUGUGUAAAUUUCCUCUCAUUUUGUCCUUAGUGUACACUAUCCUGGAGAAUCAUCUCCAUGAACAAAUUAGCUGCUGAUCUCCAUCUUGCCUGGGCUGGGCCUUUCAGUGAUAUCAAAAGUUCUAGAAAGUUUGACAGAAGGAGGAGAGGAAGAACCUUAUUCUUCAUAAAUAGAUUACUUGUGUUUCAAGGAGCCCCUCUUUCAAAUGGGAGAAAAAGGGGCCUGGAGACUGGAUUGAAAGAACCCUUGAACAAGGAAGUUUGA